rnacentral:lncRNA from 1 species
CUAGACUACACUGGCUGCCCCCCGCCCCCCGACUUUUUGUACCCUCCUCAGUCCUCGGUAACCAGGCUUCCAGCCAGUCCACUCAAAGUGCUCCGGCAGUGGUCACCAACGACCCAAUGCCCAGGGCAGUGGCCUUCCUUCCAUCCCCAUACUGCGUGACCUCCUGGCCCCAUACCAUACCACUCACCACCGUUCCCUGCUCCCUCGAUGAGACUGGUCUCUGGACGUCUUCCCCACGGGCCCUCCUCUGACCUCAGACGGCUCUUUCCCGUUCACUCCUGCUCCAGCUGCCAUUGUUGUUCCACAUUCUGUCUUAAGCCUUCACGUCGUCUUUCAUCUGCACUCUUCCUGGACGUUCUUUUGUACAUCCACAGCCUCUGCCACCCGUAUACAGUGACGAAUCCCCAGAGCUCUCCUGUUCUCAGCCCAGACUCACCUUUGUUUCCACCCAGACGUCCUGCAGAACCUCCAGACCCGUGUGUCCAGAAUCACAUCCGUUAGCUUCCCUCUUCCUGGCCAGGGGUAAAAUCAUCUCCAGAAUCCUCCAGCAGACUUCCCUCUUCAUCUCACUGGCCAAAAUCAAGUCACAUGACCAUCCCUGAUCCAUCUCUUGCACAGGGGAACAGGAUCGCUAUGAUUGGCUGUGACCAGUCAUGAGUCAUCUCUUUGCUCAGAGAGCAGCACAAUUGACCGGAUACUCACCCUCUUUGAGUUUCUGGGGGUGGUGAGGCCCAUCUCCAGUCUUGGGAGCAGUCUGUGUGGAGGGCCUUCUCUGGGCCAGGCCUUGUGCAGAUGAAGGAAAACAGUCCCCACCUUCAAAUGCACGCAGGAGGCAGGAAGGAGCCACUACACGGUCUGCAGGUCUUUCUCUGUGAUCUGUUCUUCUGCCCAGAAAUUAGCUCGUGUUCCUUCUUUUCAGCUGGCACUGAAGUCGUUUGCUGCUAAGCAUGACGUUAAUGAUGUAAAGUGACACAGGCAAGUUUCUCAAGUGGUGGAAACACCUCGUUCUUUUAAUGGCCCUCGACUUCUCCCCACCCUCUAGGGAAAGUCUGAACUUCCGGCCUAUUGGGUCAUAACCAAGGGACUGAGAAUUUAGAAUCAGGAAUGGAUACAGCUGGAGGGGUCUCAGUGAGCUCUUCCUUUUUAAAUGGGGAAACAAAUGUCUAAGAUUUGGUCUGGGAACUGCUGCUGCUUCUGGGCAAAAGAUGGCAAAGACGUCUCCUUGAGGGCUGGGUCAGAACCGUUUCUCCGAUUCAUUUUGCUCAGUGCUAUAGGCUCACUUUUGUCUGUUGAAAAGGAUUGCGCUAUCAUCGUGGUGUACUAGGGUAGAUUCAUCCGGGGUGUGGUACGCCCUCGCGUGCCAAGACCUCGCAGUCAGGUGAUUUGAUUGACCUCCCUCCCUGGACAGACUUCUGUGCUUUUAUUUCGAGAGGCUGGAUCUGAAAGGAGUUCGGGGUCAGGGG